AAAUUUUCAGCCGCCAAUCAAAAGAACUACAUAUUCCAGGCAGCUUGCAAUUCUCACCACAAAACAAAGACGCUACAAAUAUUAAAGGCAAACUCUAGAUGAUUAAAAUAUUUUUCCAAAAAACAGAUGCAACCAGACACAGCAGAUAAUCACAUAUUGCGCAACUACGACUUUGGGCCAAUAUCCUUGAGGGCACAGAUCUGCUCCUCACCCAUUGAAGACAUGACAGUCAAAACCAAGUCCUUCCCCUCAGCAAAACCGUCCUUGAGCUGCAUUCACGAACGGACAGUGUAAGUACGUGAAGGAAAAAAUUCUAGAAAUAUCUAGGACCAUUACAGCACACGACCAAAAAGUCACAAACAUGCACAUAGCAAAAGUGACCAAAUAAACAUAGUACUCAAAAGCAGAUGAAACCGAACACGGAGAAUAAUCAGAUUAUCUAAAUAGUGUAUCCUCAACAACAAAAUGGAGAUUAAACAUCAAACUAAGAGCAAGGAAAUAAAAGGGUUAACAAUUGACCUGGGUCAGCAGAGUCUCAUCGGUUGGGAGCCUCAGAUCAUCCUUGGUGUUCCCAUUUUCAGUCAGCAAACUCACCUGAAAAAUUAAGUUUAGGCAGUAAGAGAACAUAUGCACACAGCCUUAGUCGAGGAAAUGAAACAAACGAAAAAGAUAGGGCUCAAACAUACAAAUCCAUCCUCAGAAAUAUCAAUCAACUGAUAGUCGGUACGGUUGACAUGGGGAACCUGUAAAAGCAGAGAACACAUAAACACCUACUCUCCAACAUAGAGAGAGAUUAAAAAACAAUUAACAGACAACCGGAAAAGAAAAAAGGUUCAUACAUCAGAGUUAUGAGAAGAGGGGACAAUAUCUUCCAACUUCUUUCCACUGAAGAUAUCAAUUCCAACAAAGUGGCACUUAGCAUGACCGUGCUUUCCAGUCUUGGAGGUGGAGACUUCCACAACCUGUUAAAUUAAAUGUUGAGCAAUGUUACGAAAAUUUAAAUCUAAGUAAUCGUCUCAAUUAACAAAACAAGUAUCAUCACUUGAAGCAAUAACUAAAACUAAACUAAAACCAUUUGCCACAUCCUAUCACCAAUAUUAAGUAAAAUAGACUACACUUGGUAUAUAUCUAAAAGCUAAAGGCCAGUCCUUAAAGUUUACUAAACUCUUAACAAUAUUUAUUCUUACAAGUGAUUAAAAUUGAGAUUAUUCACAUUGACCUCCAAUCAAAAGGACUAAAAUGUCUUCAAAACAAACGAGCAAAUUACACAACAAUUUGCACUAAACAAAGUAGCAUAAUUCAAAGACAUACGGAUUUUAUAGCAAAAAAGAAAAAAAAAAUUAACAUAUUUUCAGGAAAAUCUAGCUACGAAUAAACGAUUACGCAUCAGGAUUAUCAUACCUAAUUUUAUCUAUAAUUGGAAGCAAAGAAAUAAUUUUUUUCUCGAGAAAAUAUAGGAUUCGGAGAAAACAAAAAGAGAUAAAAGCCAAUUAAAAUAAAAAAAGUAAUAGAAAAGAAACCUUGCAGGGACGGCCUUUGAUGACGAUGUAGCCAUUCUUACGGAUGGUACCAGCUUGCUGCGGGUAAGUCUUGGAGGCUCCGGCAUCGGCCUUUGACUCGAAGUGAUGCUCCUCGUCCGACAUCGUUUUAAGCACUGACUGAUUCCGACUCGGCCGAUUUACUGAGCGAGAUUUUGAGAGAGGCUGGGGGGCGACCGAGCGAGGGAGAGACGGAGGAGGCAAUUA
rnacentral:lncRNA from 1 species